rnacentral:rRNA from 1 species
AGUGAACGCUGGCGGUAGGCCUAGCACAUGCAAGUCGAACGGCAGCACAGUAAGAGCUUGCUCUUACGGGUGGCGAGUGGCGGACGGGUGAGGAAUACAUCGGAAUCUACUUUUUCGUGGGGGAUAACGUAGGGAAACUUACGCUAAUACCGCAUACGACCUACGGGUGAAAGCAGUGGAUCUUCGGACCCUGCGCGAUUGAAUGAGCCGAUGUCGGAUUAGCUAGUUGGCGGGGUAAAGGCCCACCAAGGCGACGAUCCGUAGCUGGUCUGAGAGGAUGAUCAGCCACACUGGAACUGAGACACGGUCCAGACUCCUACGGGAGGCAGCAGUGGGGAAUAUUGGACAAUGGGCGCAAGCCUGAUCCAGCCAUACCGCGUGGGUGAAGAAGGCCUUCGGGUUGUAAAGCCCUUUUGUUGGGAAAGAAAAGCAGCAGGUUAAUACCCCGCUGUUCUGACGGUACCCAAAGAAUAAGCACCGGCUAACUUCGUG